AGCGAACGCUGGCGGCAGGCCUAACACAUGCAAGUCGAACGAAGUCUUCGGACUUAGUGGCGGACGGGCGAGUAACACGUGGGAACGUGCCUUUAGGUUCGGAAUAACUCAGGGAAACUUGUGCUAAUACCGAAUGUGCCCUUCGGGGGAAAGAUUUAUCGCCUUUAGAGCGGCCCGCGUCUGAUUAGCUAGUUGGUGAGGUAAAGGCUCACCAAGGCUACGAUCAGUAGCUGGUCUGAGAGGAUGACCAGCCACAUGUGGACUGAGACACGGCCCAAACUCCUACGGGAGGCAGCAGUGGGGAAUCUUGCGCAAUGGGCGAAAGCCUGACGCAGCCAUGCCGCGUGGAUGAUGAAGGUCUUAGGAUUGUAAAAUCCUUUCACCGGUGAAGAUAAUGACUGUAGCCGGAGAAGAAGCCCCGGCUAACUUCGUGCCAGCCGCCGCCGUAAUAC
rnacentral:rRNA from 1 species